CCCUGCGCCACCGCCUCCGCCGACGCGCAAGUCCCGGGGGCAUCGGGCCCGCAGACGGACAAAAAGCGGGUCCCGGGUCCGCCAGCAGAACAGCCCCGGGGAUGGCGCGCAGCAAGCGCCCCCGAGGACCGCAUCCUUACAACUCCGGACCCGCGGUGCCCUUUAAACCAGGUCCAGUGGGCGCGCUGCAAGGAGAAGUCUGAGCCCCCCGGAUUGGUGGCGGCGGCGGGGGCGCAGCUUUGGGUGAGCAGGUUCAAAUGAGACCUCCGCGUCCUUAAGGCCUGGGUGAAGCUAUUGGGCAAGCGGGCACCUGCGACAGCCACCUGUGUACGCUUCUUCUCAGUUUUGGUAGGAAACAGAUCGCAUUCUGGAAAGGUGGUUGAAAAACUCCAGAGAUGACAGAAUUUUCUAUGGCUUUUAGCGACCUCACCACACCUGUUCAGGGGAAAGAAAACAACUGAUGACAGUGGAGAUUCCGCCCUCUUCUACUUUAUGAAUAACGACCUUUCAGAGUGCCCGUCGCUGAGAUCGAUGCUGAGCCGUUCUCGUGAACAAUGAAUCCAGUGAACUAGGCCAGUCAUUUCUUGCUCAAGCAUUACCUCAGCCCAGCAUGUUUUGAAUUUUUCUAGUACCUUCUCAAAGCAGUUUAUUUUAAUUCGCUUUAAUUUGUUGGAACACUUUGUCAUUUACCACCUCGGGAAGGUUUGCUCUGAAAUUAAGCAAACAAUGGUGAGUGGCCUAAAAGUAUAAGAAUCAAGAGCAGUUAUUACGUCUACUCAAAAGGGAGAGGUUGCUUGUCUUCAAUAAAAUGAAAAAAGUAAUGAACUUCUCUAAGAAGCUGAUGGCCUUUGGCUCUGUUUUAGCCCAAGUCAUCAAGGUGCAGGGCUUUGCUUGCAAUCAUCAGACUUCCACUUGCAUCUUUGAGGAAGAGGAUGAGUACUCUGCCUGCCUCUCUCCAGCUUGGACUGCUUGUCAUCAAAUUGUCCCUGGUGCCAAGAAGGAGAGGAAAGAGGAACCCUCUACCAAUAAUAAGAAACAAAAACAUAAUACGUCUACUUCACAGCCAAGAGGGAAGAGGAUGAGGUGUUUAAGGAGAAGACAGCCAACAUUCACUAAGGGACGUCAAAUGAGGGCCUCAUCAACUCCUACUGUCCCUUCCAUGAUAUGGUACCUCCCACUGAAGUUCCCCAUCUCCCCUAGCCCGUGGUGCUGUGGAUACCGAAGAUUCAAAAUUUGAAAUUUGUUUUUCGUGCAAAUAUAAACUCCAGCAUCCUAAUGAUGUCUGUUUUAAAUUAUUUAUGUACAGCUCAAACCUCCUGGGCAUCGUUUUUUAAAAAAAAAAAAAAAUCCCACAUUGGAGUACCCGAUGUGGUUCAGGGGUAAUGAAUCCAAUGAGUAUCUAUGAGGCUGUGGAUUCCAUCCCUGGCCUCAUCCAGUGGGUUGAGGAUCCAUUGUUGCCUUGA